UACGAGGGGGGCGAGCGUUGUUCGGAAUUAUUGGGCGUAAAGGGUGCGUAGGCGGUUUGGUAAGUCUGAUGUGAAAUCUAUGGGCUCAACUCAUAGUCUGCAUCGGAAACUGCCGGGCUUGAGUAUGGGAGAGGUGAGUGGAAUUCCUGGUGUAGCGGUGGAAUGCGCAGAUAUCAGGAGGAACACCGAUGGCGAAGGCAGAUCUCUGGGCCGUAACUGACGCUGAGGAGCGAAAGCAUGGGGAGCGAACAGG
rnacentral:rRNA from 1 species